GGUCAAGUCAAGGAGUCAGUCCACAGGCUGAAGGCUCUAUCAAAGGGCUGUAUAGACAUUCAGGGCCAAGGCAAUUCUCCAGCAUGCUUCAGGAAAGGCAUGAAGCUCAGGCUGACCUUAGAGGUCCUGGAUGCAUGGAUGUAGAUGGAGGCUCCAGAGAUGAGUGCCACAGAAGAUGAGUAUUGUCGUUCAAGGAAGAGAAGGAAACAAGCUGUGGACAGAGGUCUGUGCACAGGAAAACAUCUUCUAGAGUUGGUAAAGAAUUCUGCACUGUAAUGCAAUUUUAUGAUGACCACAAGCGUCAUGGAAACAUUUCUGUUUCAGAAGGCUUUCACCAGCUCAUCUCUCUGUUGGGAGCUCCACUCAGUGAGGCUUCUAGCCCCAGAGCUCCAC
ensembl:lncRNA